rnacentral:rRNA from 1 species
GGGGAAUAUUGGACAAUGGGCGCAAGCCUGAUCCAGCCAUGCCGCGUGAGUGAUGAAGGCCCUAGGGUUGUAAAGCUCUUUCACCGGUGAAGAUAAUGACGGUAACCGGAGAAGAAGCCCCGGCUAACUUCGUGCCAGCAGCCGCGGUAAUACGAAGGGGGCUAGCGUUGUUCGGAAUUACUGGGCGUAAAGCGCACGUAGGCGGAUUGGUCAGUUAGGGGUGAAAUCCCAGGGCUCAACCCUGGAACUGCCUUUAAUACUGCCAGUCUUGAGUCCGAGAGAGGUGAGUGGAAUUCCGAGUGUAGAGGUGAAAUUCGUAGAUAUUCGGAGGAACACCAGUAGCGAAGGCGGCUCACUAGCUCGGUACUGACGCUGAGGUGCGAAAGCGUGGGGAGCAAAC